ACGGUGAGGAGUGCUUUUAUUAGAUCAAAGCCAAUCGGGUCUUCGGAUUCGUUUAGUUGGUGACUCUGAAUAACUUUGCUGAUCGCACGGUCUUGCACCGGCGACGUAUCUUUCAAGUGUCUGCCUUAUCAACUGUCGAUGGUAGGUUAUGCGCCUACCAUGGUUGUAACGGGUAACGGGGAAUCAGGGUUCGAUUCCGGAGAGGGAGCCUGAGAAACGGCUACCACAUCCAAGGAAGGCAGCAGGCGCGCAAAUUACCCACUCCCGGCACGGGGAGGUAGUGACGAAAAAUAACGAUACGGAACUCAUAUGAGGCUCCGUAAUCGGAAUGAGUACACUUUAAAUCCUUUAACGAAGAUCUAUUGGAGGGCAAGUCUGGUGCCAGCAGCCGCGGUAAUUCCAGCUCCAAUAGCGUAUAUUAAAGUUGUUGUGGUUAAAAAGCUCGUAGUUGGAUCUCGGUUUCGGGUGAAUGGUGCACCUUGCGGUGUUUACUAUUUAUUCGGACGAUUUUGUUGGUUCGUUCCUGGUUCUCUUAAUCGAGUGCCUUGAGUGGCUAACACGUUUACUUUGAAAAAAUUGGAGUGCUCAAAGCAGGCGCUACAGCCUGAACAUUAGUGCAUGGAAUAAUGGAAUAGGAUCUCGGUUCUAUUUCGUUGGCUUUCGGAGUCGAGGUAAUGAUUAAUAGGGACAGACGGGGGCAUUCGUACUGCGACGUUAGAGGUGAAAUUCUUGGAUCGUCGCAAGACGAACUACUGCGAAAGCAUUUGCCAAGAAUGUUUUCAUUAAUCAAGAACGAAAGUUAGAGGUUCGAAGGCGAUCAGAUACCGCCCUAGUUCUAACCAUAAACGAUGUCGACCGGCAAUCUGCUCUUGUUAAAUUAAUGACUGAGCAGGCGGCCUGCUGGAAACAAGAGUAUUUGGAUUCCAGGGGGAGUAUGGUUGCAAAGCUGAAACUUAAAAGAAUUGACGGAAGGGCACCACCAGGAGUGGAGCCUGCGGCUUAAUUUGACAACACGGGAAAUCUCACCAGGCCCGGACACCGGAAGGAUUGACAGAUUGAGAGCUCUUUCUUGAUUCGGUGGGUGGUGGUGCAUGGCCGUUCUUAGUUGGUGGAGCGAUUUGUCUGGUUAAUUCCGAUAACGAACGAGACUCUGGCCUACUAAUAGACGUCAAAUCUUUUAUAGGUUUGUCGUAUGCUUCUUAGAGGGACGGGCGGCGUUUAGCCGCACGAGAAUGAGCAAUAACAGGUCUGUGAUGCCCUUAGAUGUUCUGGGCCGCACGCGCGCUACACUGAAGAAAUCAGCGUGUGUUCCUCAUCCGAAAGGAUUGGGUAACCCGUUGAACCUUCUUCGUGAUGGGGAUUGGGGAUUGCAAUUAUUCCCCAUGAACGAGGAAUUCCCAGUAGGCGCGAGUCAUUAGCUUGCGUCGAUUACGUCCCUGCCCUUUGUACACACCGCCCGUCGCUACUACCGAUCGAGUGAUUUAGUGAGGACUCCGGACUGGUCUCUGAUGUAACUCUCGGGUUAUGUUGGUGUACUAGAAAGUUGUCCAAACUUGAUUACUUAGAGGAAGUAAAGUCGUAACGAGGCU
rnacentral:rRNA from 1 species